GACAGAGGGUGCAAACGUUGUUCGGAAUUACUGGGCGUAAAGCGCGUGUAGGCUGCUUCGCAAGUCGGGUGUGAAAGCCCUGGGCUCAACCUAGGAAGUGCACUCGAAACUGCGAAGCUUGAGCUCUGGAGAGGAAGGCGGAAUUCUCGGUGUAGAGGUGAAAUUCGUAGAUAUCGAGAGGAACACCGGUGGCGAAGGCAGCUUACUAGGCUGUAACUGACGCUGAGGCACGAAAGUGUGGGGAUCAAACAGG
rnacentral:rRNA from 1 species